rnacentral:rRNA from 1 species
AUUGAACGCUGGCGGCAGGCCUAACACAUGCAAGUCGAGCGGAGCGGCGGACGGGUGAGUAAUGCCUAGGAAUCUGCCUGGUAGUGGGGGAUAACGUGCGGACACGGGCGCUCAUACGGCAUACUAUCAGAUGAUCGUAGGUGGGAUUAGAUAGUUGGUGGGGUAAAGGCCUACCAAGGCGACGAUCCGUAACUGGUCUGCGAGGAUGAUCAGUCACACUGGAACUGAGACACGGUCCAGACUCCUACGGGAGGCAGCAGUGGGGAAUAUUGGACAAUUGGCGAAAGCCUGAUCCAGCCAUGCCGCGUGUGUGAAGAAGGUCUUCGGAUUGUAAAGCACUUUAAGUUUGGAGGCGUUACCAACAGAAUAAGCACCGGCUAACUUCGUGCCAGCAGCCGCGGUAAUUC